rnacentral:rRNA from 1 species
CCUACGGGUGGCUGCAGUGGGGAAUAUUGGACAAUGGGCGCAAGCCUGAUCCAGCAAUGCCGCGUGGGUGAAGAAGGUCUUCGGAUCGUAAAGCCCUUUCGACAGGGACGAUGAUGACGGUACCUGUAGAAGAAGCCCCGGCUAACUUCGUGCCAGCAGCCGCGGUAAUACGAAGGGGGCUAGCGUUACUCGGAAUUACUGGGCGUAAAGGGCGCGUAGGCGGCUUGGCCAGUCAGGCGUGAAAUUCCUGGGCUUACCCGGGGGACUGCGCUGUAUACUGCUGGGCUUGAGGCCGAGAGAGGGUGGUGGAAUUCCCAGUGUAGAGGUGAAAUUCGUAGAUAUUGGGAAGAACACCGGUGGCGAAGGCGACCACCUGGCUCGGUACUGACGCUGAGGCGCGACAGCGUGGGGAGCAAACAGGAUUAGAUACCCCAGUAGUCAA